CUGGGUUGCUCUCUGGGACUCUAAGGGAAUUGACAAUGUUGGAUCUCUGUUUGUUGUUGAUAUGAGAAUAUUAGCAUCCUCCCUUACCUGACCACCACCUCACAACAUCUAGAGCUCUAAACUAAACAGAGGGGACAUGGACUGUCACCACUGAGCCUAGAAGCCAGGACUUGUCCUCUAAUACCACCCACCAACCAGACUCCCACCCACUUCUUCAGGGAAGAGUCAGUCCUUGGGAAGCAGGGGGUUCUCAAUUAGAUGCUUCCUUCCAAAACCUUCGGACACAGUAGACAUUUGGGGGGGUCCCCACUCCUUGUCAGCUUUGCUCCACCCACCCUUGCUGCCCCAGGAACACUGCAGCAGCUAUUGCUAAGCGCUCAGCACCUCAUACCCAGCACUCUGCUACCUUUUACUGCUUCUGUCUCCACAGUACCCAUCCCCCGCAACAGGGAGGUCUUACACAUUCCUCUCUCGUGUUUCACAAGGGGAAGAGAGAAACCCUUCAACCUCAGGGUUCAGCAAGUUUACUGGUCCAGCCUCCUAAUCCAAGGAUUUCCAAAACCAUGAAUAUGUAUACCACAAUUUCAGUUUGUCUAUAAGAACAUUUUUAAAAAGCAUUGUGGCCAUGCGAUGGUGGCACAUGUUAAUCCCAGCACUUGAGAAGUAGAGGCAGGUGGAUCUGAGUUCAAGGCCAGCUUGGUCUACAGAGCAAGUUUAGGAUAGCCAGGGCUACACAAAGAGAAACUAUGUCUCUGAAACCACCACCCAAAAAAAAUUGUGUUUAGUUACACAUAUAUUUGAAAAGCAUAACUCAAAACUAAACGUGGUAGUGCACACCUAAAUUCUAGCACUUGGGAGAGUGAGGCAGGAGGAUUGCUGUGAGAUCAAGAUGAACCUGGGCCACCAAAUGAGUCCCAUCCUGUACUACAGAAUAAAAGACCCUUUCCCAGAAAACAAAACCAACCAAGGUAAUUCAUGAGUUAAACCUGAGUUUUCAGCUUUUUUUUUUUCACAAGUUAGAUGCUCUUCCACCGAAGGAAGGACAGGGAAGAUUGGGGGAGGCAGGGAGCAGUAUUUAUAACCUCAUUUCUGUUGCUCAGGUGUCAGGUAGGGAAAGGCAGGACAGGUUAAUAGAGCCUGAUCAGAAAGAACCUUCAAUGCCAGGCUGAGAGGCUGGCAGUACUGUAGAGAAGCCUCAAGGUUCUUUAGGGACCAGUUGGACAGAAUGCAUAGAAAGUUCUAGAGGAAAACAAGACAAUGGCAGCAAUGUCACAGGCAGCAAGGAAAUGCCACAAAAUGUCAUGUCCAAGAAGAGAAGAGAACAGAGUUGACGUUAAAGAUGGAAAGGAGAUAGAGAAGACCUAAAGUUGUUUAUGUGUCUUCAAUGGACCAUCCAGGCUGUACUCACUGCCUCCCUGUGCGGCAGCUCAGCCCGGAGCAAGAGCCACCUCUGUAAAGACACACACUCCAGGAUGGCAGCCAUCUGCCCGUGGAGCUGCCGAGCACUCGAAACACAGCUAGUAUGACUGUGAGAAACCAAUUUUUUUCUUUUUUUUUCUUUUUUUUCUUUUAGUUAAAUGAUACUCAGAGCUCAUGACUACCACAUUGGAGCACAUUGGAGUGAGAGCUCAAACAUUGGCCCUGAUUUGCAGACCAUUCUGUCGUAAAGUCUAGCACAAUGCCUAGCACAUAGUAGGUACUCAGUAUUUGUUGCACGAGAAAAUUUUUAAAAACACAGUGAAAUCUAGGCAAGGACUGGGCCCAAUUCAGAUCAGUUUAUUGUUUUGUGGAGAUGGUUCAAGGGAUGAGGAGAAGGGGAUUUCCCAGACAUAUUUGGGGUCUUCCCCGAAUGUGUAAACCGAAGCACUCAGAAACCUCACUCAGGCAGGCAAAAUGAAGCCAAAGGGGAUCAAGGAGAACUGGCUGUGGUAGCCAGAGUCUGGUCUGCAGUGCCUGCUGUCGGGCUGCUCAGUUCUGGUCUUAAAUGCCCAUCCCCCAACAUGCAAGAGGAGUAACCGAAACAGGAAUACACAUUUAGAAGGAAUUGGGGAAAGAGAACAUGUUAGGACUGCUUUGUUAUACCGGACAGUGAAAAAUUAGAAUGUACAUUCAGAUAGACAGGCAUUGCACUUGCCAGAACGGCUGCCUCCAAGCUGAGGCUAGGAAUCUUCCCACAUCAGCCCCCAGCCUGCUGAGAGGAGCUAUAGAGUAAUAGAGCAUAGAUAAUAGCUCUGCAAUCUACCAAAUGAUUGUCGUGUACGUAGUAUAAUCUGUACAAGCUCGCGUACAUCUAAACAUAUACCUGGAAAGUCUGGCUAUUAAGGUACAAUUCUGUUCUCUGUCUGGGCUGGGGGCGGAGAAUGGUGCUAGAUUGUAUCUGCAUCCAAACAUAGAACCUCACCAGUCUGAAAAAAAAAAAAAAGCAAAAAGACUUUUAUCUC
rnacentral:lncRNA from 1 species